rnacentral:rRNA from 1 species
CCAGCAGCCGCGGUAAUACGGGAGUGGCAAGCGUUAUCCGGAAUUAUUGGGCGUAAAGCGUCCGCAGGCGGUCUGUCAAGUCUGCUGUUAAAGCGUGGAGCUUAACUCCAUUUCGGCAGUGGAAACUGACAGACUAGAGUGUGGUAGGGGCAGAGGGAAUUCCCGGUGUAGCGGUGAAAUGCGUAGAUAUCGGGAAGAACACCAGUGGCGAAGGCGCUCUGCUGGGCCAUAACUGACGCUCAUGGACGAAAGCCAGGGGAGCGAAAGGGAUUAGAUACCCCUGUAGUCCUGGCCGUAAACGAUGAACACUAGGUGUCGGGGGAAUCGACCCCCUCGGUGUCGUAGCCAACGCGUUAAGUGUUCCGCCUGGGGAGUACGCACGCAAGUGUGAAACUCAAAGGAAUUGACGGGGGCCCGCACAAGCGGUGGAGUAUGUGGUUUAAUUCGAUGCAACGCGAAGAACCUUACCAGGGUUUGACAUCCUGCGAAUCUCUUGGAAACGAGAGAGUGCCUUCGGGAACGCAGUGACAGGGGGUGCAUGGCUGUCGUCAGCUCGUGUCGUGAAAUGUUGGGUUAAGUCCCGCAACGAGGGCACCCACGUCGUAGUGCAGCAUUUAGUGGGCACUCUAGCGAGACCCCGGUGAUAAACCGGAGGAAGGUGUGGAUGACGUCAAGUCAUCAUGCCCCUUACAUCCUGGGCUACACACGUACUACAAUGCUACGGACAAAGGGCAGCAAACUCGCGAGAGCUAGCAAAUCCCAUAAACCGUGGCUCAGUUCAGAUCGUAGGCUGCAACUCGCCUACGUGAAGGAGGAAUCGCUAGUAAUCGCAGGUCAGCAUACUGCGGUGAAUACGUUCCCGGGCCUUGUACACACCGCCCGUCACACCAUGGAAGUUGGCCACGCCCGAAGCCGUUACUCCAACCCUUGUGGAGGAGGACGUCGAAGGUGGGGCUGAUGACUGGGGUGAAGUCGUAACAAGGUAGCCGAU